UACCAUAUUACAUAAUUUUUCUUUCGAAACUUUCUUUUUUACAUACUACGUAUAUAUAUUUCCUUUUAUCGGAUUUACAGUUUCCUUCGAUUCUAUUUUUCAACGAAUAUCUAUUUACUUCGAAGUGGAUACAAUGGAAAUGUAGAAACACACUGACGACUCGCCGUUUCCUCGUAUAGAUGGCUUCCUGUCGCACGAAUACCGAUUGUCUUCCUCUCAUCCAUACGUAUUAGAGACCAACCGACUGCUUUUAUCCGCUAUUUACAGCCGAACAACUAACGAGUUCUGUGCGACACAUCUUAGUCGACUUUCAAUAACCUUAUUGGAAUGCUUCAUGGAAUGCGAAAAUUGCAUUGUUUGUCGCGAUGCAUUCGCAGUUUAUUACAAAUUGAAAAUAUAUUAACAGUAAUUAAAUUUCAUUCUAUGCAUUUUUUUCUAACCAUCAUGAGAUAAAAGAUAAAAUAUAUUUUUUCUCAUCUCUCAUCUAUUCGAAUCCUCUUGAUUUUUCUUCGAUUUUUUUCCUCUCAAUUCCUUGCACUUAAUGUUAAUUUCUCUUUACACAAGUUCUUCCAAUUAUCGUUCACGCUAUGAACGAUGUUAUGAUCGAUCGAACCACUUCACGUCACGCGAUAUCUUAUCAAAUAGUAAAAGUGUUCAGAAUGGUGAAAGUGGAAUAGGAAUUACAUCCUGGUCGGGUGAAGCAAGUUCGUAUUACAUAUCUCGUCGCGUGUCGUAAGAUACAGGUUGAUUACAAUUAAGUUCGAUCCGCAAAAAGAACGUCAAGUGGGCAGAUUCGAAAAACAUCCGUUGUUUACCAUUAGUCAUUGAAUACCAAAAGAAGAGAAAGUCAACCAUAGAUUUGAACUGCGCGAGGAAAGUGUCGCUUUGAUUCCGGGUACGCCAUCUUUUCCUUACUAUCUUUUACUCACUUGUAAUUAAACACGAAAGUAUUUGUUCGAAGAAAUUAGAAAAAUAAUUACUUCGCUUUAAGUUUUUCCUUAGUCGUUUCGUUUUCGUAACGUGAUUGAUCCGGUCUUGUCCUUUAUUUCUUUCGUUAAAAAAUAAUAUUGAUGGAGUAUAUCUCGAAUGAAUUCUAUUCUUUUUAUAUUUCUUCGUGUAAUCAACGCGUCGUGAAAUACGAACGUGAAAUACCUGUUACGUAAACUUACUUAUUUAUUACCAUAAUUAUUACAUGCGAAAUGAUGAUCGUAAACUUACAUAUCAAAAUGAUUAAUCAAUGUGGAUACAUAUUGUGAAACUUAACUAUACAAAUAUAUUUAUAUCACAGUCGAGACAAAGAAAUCAAUGUAUCGUAAUCGAAGUUAUUUCGUACGCACAGUCGAGUGUCGGGAGAUCAAAAAGGGAGGGGGAACCUUUAAACGAUCUCGAACAAACGAAUAUAUACGUUUGACAAUUGUCUCUCAUCGAUCGCUAAAUCCAUAAAACGCUAAUUCUUCGAACGCGAGAAAUUUGAUUAUCCUCUUGAUAUUCCUUACACGAUAUUACUUACGCGUUUCACAACGAUGACAAUAACGACGCGAUCGCGCGUCUUUGGAAUGGAAAACACAAUUAUUUAAUAAUCAAGUUUCGACCGCCAUUCCAUAAUAGUACUGCACAUUAUUAUUUCCCUUUUCUUUCUUUUCGAUAUAAUUCUUUCACAUUCUACGACUCGAUAAUGUUAACGAGCUUUAAGCUGUCCAGCAGUAAAGAGGUUAAAGCAUGGCGUCGAAAAAAAUUGCGUAUCGAAGAAAUUCGACCAACGUCGAAUAACAGAGUAACGUUCUACGUUUUUAUUAUCGUCACAAUGCCUACGUUUAAACUCAUUUCUCUAAUUAUAUGAUAAUAAAUGGUAGAACCAGUCUUAUCGCAGUCGUUAUUCGGACAGAAUUCACGCGGUACACAAUUCACUUUGAAAACGUGA
rnacentral:lncRNA from 1 species